rnacentral:rRNA from 1 species
GAGUUUGAUUCUGGCUCAGGACGAACGCUGGCGGCGUGCCUAAUACAUGCAAGUCGAACGAACGGAGAAAGAAGCUUGCUUUUUUCAAAGUUAGUGGCGAACGGGUGAGUAACACGUGGGUAACCUGCCCAUCAGAGGGGGAUAACAUUCGGAAACGGAUGCUAAAACCGCAUAGGUUCCUUAGUUGCAUGACUGAGGAAGGAAAAGAGGCGUAAGCUUCUGCUGGUGGAUGGACCCGCGGUGCAUUAGCUAGUUGGUGAGGUAACGGCUCACCAAGGCGAUGAUGCAUAGCCGACCUGAGAGGGUGAUCGGCCACAUUGGGACUGAGACACGGCCCAAACUCCUACGGGAGGCAGCAGUAGGGAAUCUUCCGCAAUGGACGCAAGUCUGAUGGAGCAACGCCGCGUGAGUGAAGAAGGUUUUCGGAUCGUAAAACUCUGUUGUUAGAGAAGAAUAAGCAUAAUAGUAACUGAUUAUGCCGUGACGUUCNACCGAG